rnacentral:rRNA from 1 species
ACKGCUCAGUAACACGUGGCCAAUUCACCCUUGGGACAGAGACAACCCCGGGAAACUGGGGCUAAUCCCUGAUAAGCGACGAAACCUGGAAUGGUUCACCACCCAAAAGCCUCCUAACCACGCUUAGAAGGCGCCCAAGGACAAAGCCGCGACCGAUCAGGCUGUUGGUAGGGCAACGGCCUACCAAACCCAUAACCGGUACGGGCCGUGAGAGCGGAAGCCCGGAGAUGGAUACUGAGACAAGGAUCCAGGCCCUACGGGGCGCAGCAGUUGCGAAAACUCCACAAUGCACGAAAGUGCGAUGGGGCUACCCCGAGUGCCGUCCGCUGAGGAUGGCUUUUCUCUGCUGUAAGGAGGCAGAGGAAUAAGGAGAGGGCAAGUCUGGUGUCAGCCGCCGCGGUAAUACCGGCUCUCCGAGUGGUAGGGAUGAUUAUUGGGCUUAAAGCGUCCGUAGCCGGCUUGACAAGUCUUCUGUUAAAUCCAGCAACCCAAUUGUUGGACUGCGGAAGAUACUGCCUAGCUAGAGAACGGGAGAGGUCGACGGUACUCUCAGGGUAGGAGUGAAAUCCUAUAAUCCUGGGAGGACCACCAGUGGCGUAGGCUGUCGACUAGAACGUGUCUGACGGUGAGGGACGAAAGCUUGGGGAGCGAACCGGAUUAGAUACCCGGGUAGUCCAAGCUGUAAACGAUGCGGGCUAGGUGUUGGGGUGGCUACGUGCCACUUCAGUGCCGCAGGGAAGCCGUUAAGCCCGCCGCCUGGGGAGUACGGUCGCAAGGCUGAAACUUAAAGGAAUUGGCGGGGGAGCAC